GCCUGUGAGGGUUGCUGGAGGUAUCAGAAGUGCGAAUGCUGACAUAAGUAACGAUAAAGCGGGUGAAAAGCCCGCUCGCCGGAAGACCAAGGGUUCCUGUCCAACGUUAAUCGGGGCAGGGUGAGUCGACCCCUAAGGCGAGGCCGAAAGGCGUAGUCGAUGGGAAACAGGUUAAUAUUCCUGUACUUGGUGUUACUGCGAAGGGGGGACGGAGAAGGCUAUGUUGGCCGGGCGACGGUUGUCCCGGUUUAAGCGUGUAGGCUGGUUUUCCAGGCAAAUCCGGAAAACCAAGGCUGAGGCGUGAUGACGAGGCACUACGGUGCUGAAGCGACAAAUGCCCUGCUUCCAGGAAAAGCCUCUAAGCAUCAGGUAACAUCAAAUCGUACCCCAAACCGACACAGGUGGUCAGGUAGAGAAUACCAAGGCGCUUGAGAGAACUCGGGUGAAGGAACUAGGCAAAAUGGUGCCGUAACUUCGGGAGAAGGCACGCUGAUAUGUAGGUGAAGCGACUUGCUCGUGGAGCUGAAAUCAGUCGAAGAUACCAGCUGGCUGCAACUGUUUAUUAAAAACACAGCACUGUGCAAACACGAAAGUGGACGUAUACGGUGUGACGCCUGCCCGGUGCCGGAAGGUUAAUUGAUGGGGUUAGCGGUAACGCGAAGCUCUUGAUCGAAGCCCCGGUAAACGGCGGCCGUAACUAUAACGGUCCUAAGGUAGCGAAAUUCCUUGUCGGGUAAGUUCCGACCUGCACGAAUGGCGUAAUGAUGGCCAGGCUGUCUCCACCCGAGACUCAGUGAAAUUGAACUCGCUGUGAAGAUGCAGUGUACCCGCGGCAAGACGGAAAGACCCCGUGAACCUUUACUAUAGCUUGACACUGAACAUUGAGCCUUGAUGUGUAGGAUAGGUGGGAGGCUUUGAAGUGUGGACGCCAGUCUGCAUGGAGCCGACCUUGAAAUACCACCCUUUAAUGUUUGAUGUUCUAACGUUGGCCCGUAAUCCGGGUUGCGGACAGUGUCUGGUGGGUAGUUUGACUGGGGCGGUCUCCUCCUAAAGAGUAACGGAGGAGCACGAAGGUUGGCUAAUCCUGGUCGGACAUCAGGAGGUUAGUGCAAUGGCAUAAGCCAGCUUGACUGCGAGCGUGACGGCGCGAGCAGGUGCGAAAGCAGGUCAUAGUGAUCCGGUGGUUCUGAAUGGAAGGGCCAUCGCUCAACGGAUAAAAGGUACUCCGGGGAUAACAGGCUGAUACCGCCCAAGAGUUCAUAUCGACGGCGGUGUUUGGCACCUCGAUGUCGGCUCAUCACAUCCUGGGGCUGAAGUAGGUCCCAAGGGUAUGGCUGUUCGCCAUUUAAAGUGGUACGCGAGCUGGGUUUAGAACGUCGUGAGACAGUUCGGUCCCUAUCUGCCGUGGGCGCUGGAGAACUGAGGGGGGCUGCUCCUAGUACGAGAGGACCGGAGUGGACGCAUCACUGGUGUUCGGGUUGUCAUGCCAAUGGCACUGCCCGGUAGCUAAAUGCGGAAGAGAUAAGUGCUGAAAGCAUCUAAGCACGAAACUUGCCCCGAGAUGAGUUCUCCCUGACUCCUUGAGAGUCCUGAAGGAACGUUGAAGACGACGACGUUGAUAGGCCGGGUGUGUAAGCGCAGCGAUGCGUUGAGCUAACCGGUACUAAUGAACCGUGAGG
rnacentral:rRNA from 1 species